GCCUGAUCCAGCAACGCCGCGUGAGGGAUGACGGCCUUCGGGUUGUAAACCUCUUUCAGCGGGGACGAAGCGAAAGUGACGGUACCCGCAGAAGAAGGACCGGCCAACUACGUGCCAGCAGCCGCGGUAAUACGUAGGGUCCGAGCGUUGUCCGGAAUUAUUGGGCGUAAAGGGCUCGUAGGCGGUCUGUCGCGUCGGGAGUGAAAACUCAGGGCUCAACCCUGAGCGUGCUUCCGAUACGGGCAGACUAGAGGUAUGCAGGGGAGAACGGAAUUCCUGGUGUAGCGGUGGAAUGCGCAGAUAUCAGGAGGAACACCGGUGGCGAAGGCGGUUCUCUGGGCAUUACCUGACGCUGAGGAGCGAAAGCAUGGGGAGCGAACAGGAUUAGAUACCCUGGUAGUCCAUGCCGUAAACGUUGGGCGCUAGGUGUGGGGACCUUCCACGGUUUCCGUGCCGCAGCUAACGCAUUAAGCGCCCCGCCUGGGGAGUACGGCCGCAAGGCUAAAACUCAAAGGAAUUGACGGGGGCCCGCACAAGCGGCGGAGCAUGCUGAUUAAUUCGAUGCAACGCGAAGAACCUUACCUGGGUUUGACAUAUACCGGAAAGCUGCAGAGAUGUAGCCCCCCUUGUGGUCGGUAUACAGGUGGUGCAUGGCUGUCGUCAGCUCGUGUCGUGAGAUGUUGGGUUAAGUCCCGCAACGAGCGCAACCCUCGUCCUAUGUUGCCAGCACGUUAUGGUGGGGACUCAUAGGAGACUGCCGGGGUCAACUCGGAGGAAGGUGGGGAUGACGUCAAGUCUUCAUGCCCCUUAUGUCCAGGGCUUCAAGCAUGCUACAAUGGCCGGUACAAAGGGCUG
rnacentral:rRNA from 1 species